AUGGCUGCACCUAUAGCACAUUUCGACGAUGACUGGCCGAACCUGGGUGAUCUGAGCAUGGUUUCAGAGGAAGGGUUGCUGCCGCAGAAAGGCCGCGCCGUCGUCUCCGCCGCCGCCGGGCACGAAGCAGCGCCGCAGUCGCUCCUGUUUGGCGGUGAUGAUGAUGAUGAUCUGCACGACAGCAGCUUCUCCCCGGGGGAAAACGUGGGAUUCCGGUCCAUGGAGGAUCUGGUGAAUGAUUUUGAUGAGAAGUUAUCCACGUGCUUCCAAAAUUUUGACGCCAAGACGGAGAGCAUCGCUCCCGUGGCUGUGAUCGCCGAGGACACGCUGCUGGAGAAAGACGAAAUCUGGAACACUUUAACCGCUAACUAUGGACAUGUGAUGCCGGUGGACUGGAAACAGUCUUGCACACGCUCCCUUCACAUUCCCACAAUCAACCUGGAGGAGAAACCCAGAAAGGCAGAUGUCGCGGCGGAGCUGUCGGACGACGAGGAGCUCAGGGAUCAGCUGGACAUGCACUCCAUCAUUGUUUCCUGCCUCGCAGAGGAGCCCCUUUUCACAGCAGAGCAGGUUAUUGAGGAGAUAGAGGAAAUGAUGCAGGACUCUCCUGAAAUGGAGGCAGAGCACAAUCCGUCACAGUCGGACCUGUCGAUGCUCUCUCUGGACGUCCAGCAGCACAACAGCUGCCCCGACUACGAGGAGAGGAUGAGGGCCCUGAGUGUUGCGGAGCUGAACGAGCGUCUCGAGGAGACCGAAAUGAACAUCAGGAGGUUUUCAGAGGAGCUGGUUCAGCAGCUGGCUCUCAGGGAUGAGCUGGACUUUGAGAAAGAGGUGAAGAACAGUUUCAUCUCAGCCCUCAUCGACGUGCAGAACCGGCAGAAGGAGUACCGCGAGGCGCUUAAGAAGAAGAAGAAGCUUAAAGGCGGAGCUGGAACAUCGCAGGGCCUCACAGAGAAAACACUUGCAUCACGCUUCAGCAUGGAGGGGAUCUCCUCUGUUAUCCAAAACAGCUUCCGGCAAACUUUUGGGAGCGGGUGCAGUGAGAGACAGUAUCUGACCACAGUCAUCCCUUACGAGAAGAAAGGACAUCCUCCCCCGAUUGAAGACCUCCAGAUCUUGACCAAGAUUCUGCAAGCUAUGAGAGACGAUAGCGACAAGGUGCCCAGCCUCCUAACAGACUACAUUCUGAAAGGUGAGCUUUUUGGUGCUUUAUAUUUUAAGGGAAAUAACAUUGUAGUGAGAUUCAGAACAAUCCUGCGCUAGCAGCACGUCUGCAUCUGUCAUCCUCGUUCCACAUAAACCAAGCGAUCAAUAACAGUCAAUUGUUACUGUGCUGAUGAUGUAACCACUGUGCCAUAAAUCACUGAUGCAUGAAUGCAGUUGAUUUCAAUUUAUUACAAUAUCCUUGGAAAGCUAAUAUGGCUUUUUAAUUAUAAGCUAUAUUGAGUUUAAACUAAAAGCAAUUAUAGACUGUGAGGGUUUUUCCUGCUUCCAAAUGGGCCUUCGGGGGGGUGACUGUCGUCUGGUUUACUGUGUUAGUGUAUCUUCUUGUUAUGUGUCACCUUUUGAUAAUCCUGUUGUGGAGUUAUUUUGAGUAGUGCGUAACUUCCAGGUAAUUUAGUGGAAAAACAAAAAAUUUCCACAUCUUAUACUGUAAAUACGCUGAGCUUUUGGGGGUCAUGUUAUGUUGUGGCUUUUGUGUAGAAAGCACAAAACAAAACCAAAAACAAAUAGAUAAUAAGAACAAUUUAUUCCUUUAAUUCUGUGGGGUUCAAGUUUGGAUUUGCAAUAAAUUUAAAAAAAGUUAUUAUAAUUGUGUCCUUUCAUGUAAAUUAUCUACAAAUUACUCACUACUUAAAAUUACUUAUGGUAUAAUUAUUUAUUUUUCCCCAUAAAAAUAAAAAUUCUUACCCCUUUAUUCUGCUGUAUCUGCCGUAAGAAUUUGUAGGUAAAUAUAAUUCCAUCGUAAUUUUAAAUAAAUUGCAUUGAAACUCCAUUUAUUUCUAGGGGAAUUACACCUUUGGUCGCGUGCAAUAUUAUAAAGUGCUGCUUGAAUUUUAAAUGCUGUGCAUGUGAUGUUAACCAACCAGUACAGAGCUUAAAUAUCUCUCAAUAUUUGCACUCUGUCUUUUUGAGUGCGUCUCCCACAUUUCACUUUCUGUUUCAUUCCUCUGUUUUAUUUUUUCUUCCUGUAUUUCUUUUGUGCUACUCUUCCUAAUAUAUCGCUGCCCCACACUCAGCUCUGGUGUGAGCCCUGGAUGGAGAGUGGUUUGCCCGACAUAGACGAGAGGGACACCCUGCAAAGGUUCUGCAUAGUUAAGCGUGAUGAAAAGAAACAAGAAGAAGAGGACUCAUUGUAUUUUUGCAGACAUGAAGCACACUUAAUUUAUUCCUGGAUGUUUUUACCUUUGUGUGUCACAUUUUUUUUACCCCCCGAUUUUCAUUAAGCUGUAUUUAUUUUGUUCAAGCGUUAUGAUUUCAAACCUUGUGUAUUGUUGUGAAUUUUGACUUUCAGUGCGUGUUUUCAGUUGUCUUGCGGUGUGAAAGUGUAUCCUAAAUUGAUGAAUCGUAUAAGAAAUGUAGACAAAUAUGUGCACUGAGCUUUGCUUAUCGAUUAGAGCAAAGAUGCACUGCAGUUGGCUUUGUGUGUGUCUGAGGUGCUGAGCUGUACACUGAGCAGAGAAAACAAUUCACAAAGCACAGAUACAGAUGUUGCAGUAAUAGAGAAUAAACUGAUGAGCUUACACAGAAGAGGAACUUUAAAAAGAGCCGAGCGAUACACAAGAUUUUUCUGUUCAUUACAAUAGCAGCUGAAACAGAUGAGAGAGCUGCGAGUGAACAGGAUACAAAAUGUACAAAAUGAUGAAGAGUACACUGAUGAUCUGAAAGCUGUGUGUAUAAAUACCACACAAAACAAUGAUAUAAUUCAGUUUUCCAUGCAGCUGCAGACACAAGUGUACCAUCUGCUUUCAUCUUGGUACACUGCAAGCAUCUCUGUUAUUAUUUCAUGAAAGAUAAUGUACUGUAUUGAUGGCUAAGGUGUUGUAGUCUGGACUGGUAUUUACUUAUUAACUAACUAACUAUGCAUUUGAGUGAAAACUGAAUUGUGACCCAUGCACUGUCUGUACUUUUGCCUCUGUGCACGGGGCGGCGUACACCACCAAUGGGCAUUCUUAUUCUGUAUGUAUUACUUUAUACAAGCUGCCUUUGCCUUUGGCUGAACUUUUGUACAUUAUAAAUAACUUAUUUUCAUUGAAUGUCAUAUUACUAAACCACUUACAGAA